CGCAGCCUCAUUUGUCGUCACUUCUUAUAGAUCCGUAAGCCUUUGUAGUUUUCCCUAUCAUUCAAUGUAUUGUUCGAUGCAACUGCGUCCUAUAGAUGUUUUUGCCAUGUAUACGUAAAACGCGUUCUACAGAAAGUACUCCCAAGGACAUCGAGUUGAUUUGUAAUGCGGAUCGGAUGCAUCUUCUAUGUAUAUGAAUUCUGUUCCUGAGAUAUUAAUGGCAUAUUCAAGUAAUCACAGAAUGAACUAAUGUUCAUAAAUGUACUAUAUUAAUGGUAAAAUGUUGGGCUUUCGGCACUACCCUCACGAUCGUGUGAAGCAUAGAGCUGAACUCAUCACCACGAAAGUGUAGCUCUUCUUUUGAGACUGGAUUAAUCGAAAUUAUCAAGUAUGAUAAAUUUACAAUAAAAGUGAAUAAAGGAAAU